UUUUUUUUAGGAUUUUUUGUCGCUCAGAACGAACGCUGGCGGCAGGCUUAACACAUGCAAGUCGAGCGCGUAGCAAUACGAGCGGCAGACGGGUGAGUAACGCGUGGGAAUCUACCCUUUUCUACGGAAUAACGCAGGGAAACUUGUGCUAAUACCGUAUACGCCCUUUGGGGGAAAGAUUUAUCGGAGAAGGAUGAGCCCGCGUUGGAUUAGCUAGUUGGUGGGGUAAAGGCCUACCAAGGCGACGAUCCAUAGCUGGUCUGAGAGGAUGAUCAGCCACAUUGGGACUGAGACACGGCCCAAACUCCUACGGGAGGCAGCAGUGGGGAAUAUUGGACAAUGGGCGCAAGCCUGAUCCAGCCAUGCCGCGUGAGUGAUGAAGGCCCUAGGGUUGUAAAGCUCUUUCACCGGUGAAGAUAAUGACGGUAACCGGAGAAGAAGCCCCGGCUAACUUCGUGCCAGCAGCCGCGGUAAUACGAAGGGGGCUAGCGUUGUUCGGAAUUACUGGGCGUAAAGCGCACGUAGGCGGACAUUUAAGUCAGGGGUGAAAUCCCGGGGCUCAACCCCGGAACUGCCUUUGAUACUGGGUGUCUAGAGUCCGGAAGAGGUGAGUGGAAUUCCGAGUGUAGAGGUGAAAUUCGUAGAUAUUCGGAGGAACACCAGUGGCGAAGGCGGCUCACUGGUCCGGUACUGACGCUGAGGUCGAAAGGACGG
rnacentral:rRNA from 1 species